UUAUCUGGCCCACAAUCAGAAAUAUGCCAGCCUGCUAAUUAGCUGCAUGGAUUUAGCAGCCAUGUGAUUCAGCAGGAUUGACAAAGUCAUGCAGUGCCUGGCUUCCUUGGAACUUCAGAGGGUGACAUUCAUCAGCCUUGUGAGAUACCUGUGAACAUGUUGAUGUGGAGCUGGCGAAGAUCCUCCAAGUCCUAUGACAGGUGGCACACCUGGACGGAGACUGCCAGGGACUUCAACAGGACCCUGAGUGAGAAUCAACAGAUAACUCAGCAUGAACACCUGCUGGGUGUAUGUUCAAUGACAAAUGGUCUAGAACAAUCACUAAAUGUAUAAGCAAAGAGGUGCCUCUGAAGUCAGACAGCCAACCGGGUCAAGGAAGGGCAAGCAUACGUGUCACAGCCAACUCCAACUACAACGAUUUACCGUGGGAAGGAAGGUGGUUUUCCAGAGGAUGUGAAGGUCCAGCAGCAGAGACAUUAGUCAGGUGCACCUCAUUUCCAAUUUGUGCUAUGGCAGGAGCAGCAUUUAUUUGUGCCACUGGGUUACGUGUGCACCCAAGUACCUGCAUAACUUGA
rnacentral:lncRNA from 1 species